UGGGGAAUAUUGGACAAUGGGCGCAAGCCUGAUCCAGCAAUACCGCGUGUGUGAAGAAGGCCUUCGGGUUGUAAAGCACUUUCAGUUGGGAGGAAGUUGCAAAUGUUAAUACCAUUUGUAAUUGACGUUACCGACAGAAGAAGCACCGGCUAACUCUGUGCCAGCAGCCGCGGUAAUACAGAGGGUGCAAGCGUUAAUCGGAAUUACUGGGCGUAAAGCGUGUGUAGGUGGUUGGAUAAGUUAGAUGUGAAAUCCCCGGGCUUAACCUGGGAACUGCGUUUAAGACUGUUUAACUAGAGUACUGUAGAGGAUAGUGGAAUUUCCAGUGUAGCGGUGAAAUGCGUAGAUAUUGGAAGGAACACCAGUGGCGAAGGCGACUAUCUGGAUAGAUACUGACACUGAGACACGAAAGCGUGGGGAGCAAACAGG
rnacentral:rRNA from 1 species